GGAGUCCCUGAGAAAGACUGUAGCGUCAUCUGCCAAUUGACUAAUGAGGAUUUGUUGUUGCUCAGCAAUCAAAAUACCCUGCAACUCACUUUCCAACAAGGAGGUUGAAAGGAGUUGCGAGGUGUGGGGAGAUUGAACAGCCCUGUCUAAUCGCGGGAGAUGGACCGAACGUCGGACAAGUCCCUUUGCUUUUCUCAGACAUCAUUUUAACGUCGCGCCUCAGCUGUGCGUUAUGACGUCACCGCGCAUACGUAAAACCCUACGCGACGAACCCGGAUGUGUAGGACUUCCGGGAUCAAUCUAGUAGUGUCGGUACGUGGUGUGCGGUCAGGGUACGGCAUUCUUUUCUUUCUUUUUUGUUGCGCAAAACGGCUUCCUGCGGCACCGCUGCUGCUCUCGUCACGCAGAACUGGGAAACUCGAGGCUUCGGAGAAGCACCCGAGCCACGAUGGCGUCCCGACAGGAUGGAACCCAGCAGCAGUCCGCUUGCCCGAAGGCCCUCGAUGUCAAGCGGAAGGAGGCUCUCGAUGCCUUCGAGCUGUACGUCCCCGAGGAGGCGGAGGUCCGUACUGUUCCCGUUAAGAUGUUGCCCCUGUCCGUCCUGAAGAGGAUGGGCCGGUUAGCCGCGCUGGGCAAAAAGAACGGCCUGACCGAGGGCGAUGGCAGUCUGACUGCCACCUGGAUCUCCCCUGUGGUUGUCAGGGAGAGAAGCGCCCCUCACGGGUGCGGUGACAACAGUGCGGCCAAGGACAGGCUCUCCAAGCUUGCCAUGGUGUCAGCUACACAGCUGUUCCACUAUUGGCUGCCCAUUACCUGUUCGAACCUUGUGGCAUUCAAAGUGCUCAAGCAGUUUUUACCAUCUGGGCAUGACCAGCAGAAUGACCCUGAGAAAGAGAUGAUGCAGAAAGCCAGCCAGGUCCCACCUCUGCACCAGGGUGGUCCCCUCACCUUCACCCAGGACUCCAUCAUCAUACUCAGCGGGCAGAGCUUCCUGUUUAUCAAGAAGCUGCGCCAAGCGAUGAGUUCCAGAAACUGCCGUCAGUCUUCUGCAUCGUGCAUUGGGACUCUGACGGCUGCUGAACGCCUCGAACUUGGCAGUGGGCCGUCGUGUCCGAGGUGUGGACGCAGUAGCUCCGUUGUGAAGCUACUCUCUGGUGUUCUUCCGUGUCUGUGGUCAAGAACAAGGGCCUGGAUGCGGAGUCCCAGGACAUCAGUGAGCAGCAGCGGUUCAGCAUCACCCAGAAUGUGCACGUGGCUCUGA
rnacentral:lncRNA from 1 species